AAGUCGUAACAAGGUUUCCGUAGGUGAACCUGCGGAAGGAUCAUUAGUGAAUUUUAGGGUGCUCUACUUCGCGUAGAGGCCUGACCUCCACUCUCCAACACUGUGCACUUAAUGGCUUUGAAGUUUGAGUACGAUGCGUAAAAGCUGAGUAUGAUGCUUCGAAGCGGCUUCAUUUUAAACACUAGUUAAAGAAUGUAACCAAAAACAAAACUAAAAAAA
rnacentral:misc_RNA from 1 species